AUUGAACGCUGGCGGCAUGCCUUACACAUGCAAGUCGAACGGCAGCACGGGAGCAAUCCUGGUGGCGAGUGGCGAACGGGUGAGUAAAGUAUCGGAACGUGCCCAGUCGUGGGGGAUAACGUAGCGAAAGUUACGUUAAUACCGCAUACGAUCUAUGGAUGAAAGCGGGGGAUCGCAAGACCUCGCGCGAUUGGAGCGGCCGAUAUCAGAUUAGGUAGUUGGUGGGGUAAAGGCUCACCAAGCCGACGAUCUGUAGCUGGUCUGAGAGGACGACCAGCCACACUGGGACUGAGACACGGCCCAGACUCCUACGGGAGGCAGCAGUGGGGAAUUUUGGACAAUGGGCGCAAGCCUGAUCCAGCCAUGCCGCGUGCAGGAUGAAGGCCUUCGGGUUGUAAACUGCUUUUGUACGGAACGAAAAGGUUUGACUUAAUACGUUGGACUCAUGACGGUACCGUAAGAAUAAGCACCGGCUAACUACGUGCCAGCCGCCGCCGUAAAAC
rnacentral:rRNA from 1 species